CCGGCAAACGGGUGCGGAACACGUACAGAACCUUCCUUUAAGCGGGGACAGCCCGGAGAAAUCCGGAUUAAUACCCCAUAUUAUUAUUUGGUGGCAUCACCGGGUAAUUAAAGAUUUAUCACUUAGAGAUGGCUGUGCGGCUGAUUAGGUAGUUGGUGUGGGUAACGGCUCACCAAGCCUUCGAUCAGUAACUGGUGUGAGAGCACGACCAGUCACACGGGCACUGAGACACGGGCCCG
rnacentral:rRNA from 1 species